rnacentral:rRNA from 2 species
UACGUAGGCAGCAAGCGUUGUUCGGAAUUACUGGGCGUAAAGAGUGUGUAGGCGGUGCUCCAAGUCUGGUGUGAAAUCUCCCGGCUCAACUGGGAGGGUGCAUUAGAAACUGGAAUGCUAGAGGAUGGGAGAGGUAAGCGGAAUUCCUGGUGUAGCGGUGAAAUGCGUAGAUAUCAGGAGGAACACCUGUGGUGUAGACAGCUUACUGGACCAUUUCUGACGCUGAGACACGAAAGCGUGGGUAGCAAACAGG